rnacentral:lncRNA from 1 species
AAUGAAUGCAGUAUUGAUAGCUAAUCUUUGACAGUCCUUGUUAAAUAUGUUUACCAAUGAAUGCAGUAUUGAUAGCUAAUCUUUGACAGUUCUUGUUAAAUUUGUUUACCAUUUUACUCUGUUCAUUUGCUUUUUGUGUUUUAUUGCCUGUGUAUGUACUGGUUUUGUGUCAUGGAUAGAUAAGCCAUAUCCUUUGUUUUCUUUUAAAUGGUUUGUAACUUGACAUAUCAUAAUCACACUUUUUUGUGUUAAAGACUGUAUGGUAUCUGAGUCUUUUAUGAAGGGUUGCUGUCUCAUUGUCUCCCUUUAUUCAUAUCUUCUACACUAAGACUAGUAUGAACAUGAGUUAAAAUGACGCUAUCAUUCAAAAUAAAAUAUGUUCUAAUGAUUGUCAUUCACUAGAUGAAAACAAAAACAUGACAUAAAAUAUAUGUGAAGAAAAAUCUAAAUAAUUAAUUUUUAUUAAAGCAAAAUUAAUAAAUGUAACAGCAAAACAAAAUAAAAAUCUAAAUUCCCUGAUAUGUCAUAUUUUGGUCAAUGUUGUUUAAAAAUAAAUCUUAGAACAAUAAUUAUACUUGUAACAUUUAAAGAUUUGGAUGAUGUUUUUAAUUCAAUUUCUAAUAAGAACAUAGAACAACAUAAAGGCUGCAUGGUGACCUAUAGUUCUAAGUCAUCUAAGACAUCUUCUUAUUUUUAUACAUAGAAGUUCGGAUUUGGUUUCCUUAAAGAUAAAAUAAUAGAGACAUAGAAGGGAGAAAUAUUUUGAAUUCUGUAUAAUUCUUUUACUUUUGCACUACAUUUUUAUCAUCUAUAGCAAAAGUAGUAAACAUAUUCCAUACACUUUUAUGAUUUAAAUAUAUAUAACACAAUUUUCAAAGUUUGUAAAACGUUUUUAUUAUAUUUUUUUUAUAAAGUCAGUUUGCAGGAUAUUCUAACGUUUUCAAUUUUCCUUAAUUAGAAUGAAUCAGUGCGCUAUUAUUGAAACAGGCAAAAUUAUUCUAAAUAAAAAUAUUUCUUUAUGCCAUUUAUAAAAGAAUGGUACAAAAUAAAAAUUUCUCUUUCUUAGCAAUCUUUUGGUUCUCAAAUAUUAAAUAAGAUAAUAGUUGUAUUUUCACACAUCAUUUAAAAAUGAUUUUGGCUUGUUCACUAACCACUGAUGUUCCUCACUGUUGAUGUUUGAUUGUUUUCUAUGAUUAUUUUGAUUGUCAUGUAUCUAACAGAAUUAGGUCUAUCAUCAACAUCGACUAUAAUGUACAACUUCAAAACUUUACCAAAACAAUCCUUCAGAAAAUAAGAAAUGAAUACAUAGACACAUCCAAAGAUAAUUGAAAAAUGGACCAAAGUCAAAUUAAGGAUAAACAGAUUUAAAAAAUUAGGGAAUUAUUUUUGUCAACUCCAUAAUAAAAUGUACAAAACCUCAAUUGGUUUGCAAACAUUUUAUGUUUCAUAAAACUGGGUAAGAAACUGCAGAAAAAUUUGUUUACAAACAUGCAUAAUUGCUGAAAUUUGCUAUCUUGGCGACCUGGCCAAAAUUAAUCUCUUAAAAAUGCCUGUUUUUUUUUAAUUCAAUCAUUGUUUUUCCAAUAAAAAUAUACAAAACUCUAAAAUAAAAUUUCCAAAAAUCACUCAUUUUCUCAUAAAGUCUUAGGCUGAACUGUAUAUAGUAUAAAAAAUAUAGAUUUUAUAAAAGAUGAAAAAAAAAGAGAUUACUUAAAUUCUACAAAAGAAUAAUACAUUAUUACAGAUCAACUUUUUUUAUUAACAGAAAAAGGAAUAUGAAAUUUUAUUUAGCCCCUGGAAAAACAAAAUUCAAAAAGUAUGAUAUAUAUAUAUAAUAAUGCCCUUCAGAUAUUCAUAUUAAGAAAUUAAGCUGUGAGAUAUCACAUUUAUAUUUCAAAUGACAUUUCUGCACUAAAAGUGAACAGAAAUUAUCAAUAAUGUUAUAAUGAAAUAAUAAUACUUGUGAAAGACUGAAGAAUCUCACUAUUCUAGCCAAAUGGUAGCUCUUAUAAAAAAAAAUUCUCCUUUAUAAAUGAAACAUUUCAUCCACCAGUUCUAAUAAAAUGCAAAAUACUGGUUAUUUAUAUGAAAAUCAUGAAAGACAGGUGAACUGAUGAUUGCAAAUACAAAAUAUUUCAAAAUGUGGAGCCUACAAAUUAAAAGAAUCUAUAAACUAUUGUGUUUUCAAAAAAUAUUCACCGUUUUUGGCCCCAAGAUUGGUGCAUUUAUAUCAUCAAUAUAAAUACCAAUUAAAAAAAAUGAACUAUUACUUCUCAAAAAACAAUAGUCGAUGUUAAUAUUUCAUCAUAAUUGUGG